rnacentral:rRNA from 1 species
UACGAAGGGGGCUAGCGUUGUUCGGAUUUACUGGGCGUAAAGCGCACGUAGGCGGAUCUUUAAGUCAGAGGUGAAAUCCCAAGGCUCAACCUUGGAACUGCCUUUGAUACUGGGGAUCUCGAGUCCGGAAGAGGUGAGUGGAACUGCGAGUGUAGAGGUGAAAUUCGUAGAUAUUCGCAAGAACACCAGUGGCGAAGGCGGCUCACUGGCCCCGAUACUGACGCUGAGGCACGAAAGCGUGGGGAGCAAACAGG